CUGCCCAGUGACAACCGUUAAACGGCCGCGGUAUCCUGACCGUGCAAAGGUAGCAUAAUCACUUGUUCUCUAAAUAAGGACUUGUAUGAAUGGCCACACGAGGGUUUUACUGUCUCUUACUUCUAAUCAGUGAAAUUGACCUUCCCGUGAAGAGGCGGGAAUAUAUUAAUAAGACGAGAAGACCCUAUGGAGCUUUAACUACUUAACCCAAAGAAACAAAAUUUAUUUCUAAGGAAACAAUAAUAUUCUUUAUGGGUUAACAGCUUUGGUUGGGGUGACCUCGGAGAAUAAAAAAUCCUCCGAGCGAUUUUAAAGACUAGACCCACAAGUCGAAUCGCACAAUCGCUUAUUGAUCCAAAAAAUUGAUCAACGGAACAAGUUACCCUAGGGAUAACAGCGCAAUCCUAUUCAAGAGUCCAUAUCGACAAUAGGGUUUACGACCUCGAUGUUGGAUCAGGACAUCCUGAUGGUGCAACCGC
rnacentral:rRNA from 1 species